UUGAACGCUGGCGGCAUGCUUUACACAUGCAAGUCGCACGGUAACAGGCCGCAAGGUGCUGACGAGUGGCGAACGGGUGAGUAAUGCAUCGGAACGUGCCCAGUCGUGGGGGAUAACUACUCGAAAGAGUAGCUAAUACCGCAUACGAUCUAUGGAUGAAAGCGGGGGACCGUAAGGCCUCGCGCGAUUGGAGCGGCCGAUGUCAGAUUAGGUAGUUGGUGGGGUAAAGGCUCACCAAGCCAACGAUCUGUAGCUGGUCUGAGAGGACAACCAGCCACACUGGGACUGAGACACGGCCCAGACUCCUACGGGAGGCAGCAGUGGGGAAUUUUGGACAAUGGGCGCAAGCCUGAUCCAGCAAUGCCGCGUGCAGGAAGAAGGCCUUCGGGUUGUAAACUGCUUUUGUACGGAACGAAACGGCUCUGGUUAAUACCCGGGGCUAAUGACGGUACCGUAAGAAUAAGCACCGGCUAACUACGUG
rnacentral:rRNA from 1 species